rnacentral:rRNA from 1 species
AGCGAACGCUGGCGGCAGGCCUAACACAUGCAAGUCGAACGAACUCUUCGGAGUUAGUGGCGGACGGGUGAGUAACACGUGGGAACGUGCCUUUAGGUUCGGAAUAACUCAGGGAAACUUGUGCUAAUACCGAAUGUGCCCUUCGGGGGAAAGAUUUAUCGCCUUUAGAGCGGCCCGCGUCUGAUUAGCUAGUUGGUGAGGUAAAGGCUCACCAAGGCGACGAUCAGUAGCUGGUCGGAGAGGAUGAUCAGCCACAUUGGGACUGAGACACGGCCCAAACCCCGCGGGAGGAGUGGAGGGGGGUACUUUGCGGAAGGAGGGAAGCCGCAGCACCGCCGUGCGGGGGGAAUAAGGAGGCUCUUAGUAUUGAAAUUUUCUUCCCCCGGGAACGAGAAUGACGGCCCCGGGGAAAGAAGCCCCGGCUAACUCCGUG